AUUGAACGCUGGCGGCAUGCCUUACACAUGCAAGUCGAACGGCAGCACGGGGGCAACCCUGGUGGCGAGUGGCGAACGGGUGAGUAAUGCAUCGGAACGUGCCCAGUAGUGGGGGAUAACUAGUCGAAAGAUUAGCUAAUACCGCAUACGACCUAUGGGUGAAAGCGGGGGAUUCGCAAGAACCUCGCGCUAUCGGAGCGGCCGAUGUCUGAUUAGCUAGUUGGCGGGGUAAAAGCCCACCAAGGCUUCGAUCAGUAGCUGGUCUGAGAGGACGACCAGCCACACUGGGACUGAGACACGGCCCAGACUCCUACGGGAGGCAACAGUGGGGAAUUUUGGACAAUGGGCGCAAGCCUGAUCCAGCCAUGCCGCGUGCGGGAAGAAGG
rnacentral:rRNA from 1 species